rnacentral:lncRNA from 1 species
AUGGUACUACUACUCAUAGUGAGGCUACUGAAGUUUGAUUGAUACAUAAAUAUGGAUCUCAAUGAGCCCUUGUAAUGGAUAUUGGCGACAGUUGGUCCACUGUAAAAGUAGGAUACAUAUCAAAAUAGGAUUUAUCGACCUUGAUAGAGAAGAGUGAUCCUAUAAAAUUUGAGAGGCUAAGUCUAAGAAUUUAUGGCCACAGCUGUGUGAUUGACGAAAAAGAGUUUUCAUAGAAGUCACAACUAGACUUGAGCUAAUUGAAUCUAUCAUAUGACUGAUAUUG